GUUCGUAGAAGCCAUCAUCUUGACAUACCAAGGGCCCUCCACCGUCACCCUGAAUGUAAAUAAAUGGACAUUGUGGAGAAGUGAGCAGACCUGACAUGCAUCGUUCCCUUGUUCCCCGCCAGCGCAGAAACUGCUGGCUGGUAGGAUAAAGAUCUUCUCGGUCACAGCGUUCACUUUCCUGAUGCACUCAGCGUCACUGACGAUUGGUAUUUCUGCUUCACGCACCCGAAGAGGUAUAGGACCAGCUGUGGAAUAUCGACGAAUAUUGUUUCAAUGAGAAGGACCCAGGAGGACAGCUCGACGGCUUCACUACAAACAUGUUCGGCCGAUCGCAGAAUGCCG